CCAGCAGGCCACCUUAUCGCUGUAAUCCACUUGGUGGUAUUAAAGAGGAAAGUCCGGACACCAUAGUGCAGCAUAGCGGGUAACGCCCGUCCGCCGAAAGGCGAGGACAAGUGCAACAGAAAGCAAGUACAGUUCGGCUGUAGUGAAAUCAGGUAAACUCUAUGCGGUGAAACGUCACGUAAACCAGUGUUUGAGGGCUGCACGCCCAAAUUGGAGGGUAGGCGGUUUGAGCUUUUGGGCAACCAAAUGCCUAGAUAAAUGAUAAGGGUAUACAGAAUCCGGCUUAUGGCCUGCUUUUCUU
rnacentral:RNase_P_RNA from 1 species